rnacentral:rRNA from 1 species
GAUCCUGGCUCAGGAUGAACGCUGGCGGCGUGCUUAACACAUGCAAGUCGAACGGAGAACCCUUGACGGAGUUUCGGACAACGGAUAGGAAUUCUUAGUGGCGGACGGGUGAGUAACGCGUGAGGAACCUGCCUUGGAGAGGGGAAUAACACAGAGAAAUUUGUGCUAAUACCGCAUGAUGCAGUUGGGUCGCAUGGCUCUGACUGCCAAAGAUUUUAUCGCU